rnacentral:lncRNA from 1 species
AAAAAUCUACAAUCACCGAUGGGACAGCCGACACAGAUGAUGGGCCAGCCCUCGACGACAGACCACUGCCAUCACUCGGGCGAUGUCUCUGUUGCCAUCACAACAGUCACACGACAACUAGCACUCACAAAACUAACACGCGACAACCGGUAGCUCUCCCUCCCAACAGCCGACUCCCCUUGGCCAGGUCUCCGUUGCCAUCACCGAUAUUUCUGCAUCUGAGGUAAUGGAAUAUUCAAACAUUUCAUCCGAACUAUUAAAACACAUCCCAAUCUUAGGCUCUUCAACUUUAUCCACCAAUUUUUCAUUAUUUCCUUCAAAAUUAGCCUCAUGUAAAUCUUGCAAUUCCUCCACUUCAUCAACCUCCAAUUCAUCAACCUCGUCCAUUAUUACUGCAAAUUAUAAUAAUUCAGAAUAUGAUUAAUUAAUUAUACCAAAUUCAUUAAGUUUAGAAACAAAUAAAAAUUCAAACUAAGUAUUAUUAAUUACUUAUCCCUAAUUCAUUAAGUUUAGAAACAAAUUAAAAUAUAAAUAGAUAUUAUUAAUUAACGGUUCAGCAAAUUAAUUAUUAUUAAUUAGUUAUCACGGUUCAGCAAACUGAAACAAAUAAAAUACAAUAAUUGACAUAUAAAUGCUCACGGUUUGCUAGAUCAAGAUUCAUAAAUUAAAAUGAAACAGCUCAACAAAUUAAUGUAGGAACAAUAAAUGCUUACGGAUUUUGUAAUGUAGAGGUUCAGCACUUUCACGAACCAGUUGCCAUUUUGCAGUUUUACAUUUGGGCUUUGCAGUUUGCAAUGAAUUGAAGCGAGUUGCACAAAGUGUUGAGUGUUGAGUGUUGGGUUGAAAUGAAAGCAAAUAGAAGGACAAACACGUGCUGCAUAGCUGCAAUGAAUUGAAGAAGCGACGUCGUUCGGUUUUGCAGUUUGCAAUGAAUUGAAGCGAGCUGCAUAGAGUGUUGAGUGUUGGGUUGAAACGAAAGCAAAUAGAAGGACAAACACGUGCUGCACAGCUGCAAUGAAUUGAAGAAGCGACGUCGUUCGGAUUGAUUAUACUUUAUGUGAUUGAUUAAAGUUUUGUUUAAUUUCACGUUAGGAUUUAAUGAGGAG